GAUACCCUAUUAUUGUAAAUGUGAAAGUUUAAGCUAGAAUUAUUAUUAGUUAUGAUCUUUAAAGUUAAAUAUUUUGGCGGUAUUUUAGUCUUUUCAGAGGAACCUGUUUUUUAAUUGAUAAUCCACGAUUAAUUGUACUUUAUUUUUAAAUUUAUAUAUCGUCGUGAAAUAAAUAUUUUACAAGAAUUUAAAUGUUUGGGAUUUUUAAUUAUAGAUUAAUUCAGAUCAAGGUGUAGUUUAUGUUAAAGUAAAAAUGGGUUACAUUGGGUUUACCCGUGGUUUAUUUAGUUGAAAAUUUAUAAUAAAUUGGAUUUGAAAGUAAUUUUUAUAUAUUUAUAUUAUGACUAAGCUCUAAAAUAUGCACACAUCGCC
rnacentral:rRNA from 1 species